rnacentral:antisense_RNA from 1 species
CUGAUGCGCGCCAGCCAACCAGGCCAAGGCCAGGGGACCUCGAGACCGGCAGCCUCGACGAAGAACCGGAAGGAGGAAGAGGAACGGGAAGGAGGAAGAUGAGAUGCGCCUACUUCUCCCUGGAGAAGCUCGAGGAAGCAGAAAUGCUGGAGAUGAGACCCAGCACACCCUGCCUGCAUGGCGCUGUGCUGCACCUUCACUCUGGUCACGGGUCUGGCAGUCGGCUCACCAAUUCCUCCCGCUUCCCUGGGACUCGCCGGCUUUUAGCACUGCAAUUCACUCAGCAAACUGGGACUGUUGGUCACCCUACCUGGCAGCCAGUGAUAAGACUUUGCUGCUCGCCCAUUGCCUGGAUCGGGGGCUACUUUGUAAACCACCAGGAAGACUCCAGUGUUUCUGCUUAAUUUUUAGAUGUUUGUUAAUUGCUCUUGGUCUCUCAUUAAUCCCCUGUGGGUCAUCCAGGAAACAUACUCACCACUGUC